GAUGAACGCUGGCGGCGUGCCUAAUACAUGCAAGUCGAGCGAACAGACGAGGAGCUUGCUCCUCUGACGUUAGCGGCGGACGGGUGAGUAACACGUGGAUAACCUCCCUAUAAGACUGGGAUAACUUCGGGAAACCGGAGCUAAUACCGGAUAAUAUAUUGAACCGAAUGGUUCAAUAGUGAAAGCCGUUUUUGCUGUCACUUAUAGAUGGAUCCGCGCCGCAUUAGGUAGUUGUUACGUUACCGGCUUACCAAGGCAACGAUGCGUAGCCCACCUGGGGGGGUGAUCCGCCACAAGGGAACUGAGAAACGGGCCAGCACCCCAGGGGAGGCAGCAGGAGGGAAUCUUCCGAAAUGGGCGAAAGCCUGACGGAGCAACGCCGGGGGGGUGAUGAAGGUCUUCGGAUCGUAAAACUCUGUUAUUAGGGAAAAACAAAUGUGUAAGUAACUAUGCCCGUUUUGACGGUACCUAAUAAGAAAGCCCAGGCUAACUACGG
rnacentral:rRNA from 1 species